AAUAGAGGAACGAAGGCUAAAAGCAUCACGUCCUGUGAUAACGUCUUUACAGGAUGAGAAGUUCUUA
rnacentral:misc_RNA from 1 species